rnacentral:rRNA from 1 species
ACCCAAUCCUGACACAGGGAGGUAGUGACAAGAAAUAACAAAGCAAGCCCUUAGGGGCGCUGCGUUGGAAUGAGUAGAAUUUAAAUCUCUUUACGACUAUCGAUUGGAGGGCAAGUCUGGUGCCAGCAGCCGCGGUAAUUCCAGCUCCAAUAGCGUAUAUUAAAGUUGUUGCGGUUAAAAAGCUCGUAGUUGGAUUUCUGUUGAGGUCGGGCGGUGUGCACCUCGUGCAUUAUUUGCUUCGGUCUCGGCAUCCUCCUGGGGAACGUUUAGGACUUUAUUGGACUAGGCGAGAUUCAGGACUUUUACUUUGAGGAAAUUAGAGUGUUCACGGCAAGCAAGCGCGGGAAUACAUUAGCAUGGAAUAAUAAUAUAGGACCUUCGUUCUAUUUUGUUGGUUUCUAGAACUUAGGUAAUGAUUAAUAGGGACAAUUGGGGGCAUUCGUAUUAACGCGUCAGAGGUGGAAUUCUUGGAUUGCGUUACGACGAACUACUGCGAAAGCAUUUGCCAAAGAUGUUUUCAUUGAUCAAGAACGAAAGUAUGGGGAUCGAAGACGCUUAGAUACCGUCGUAGUCUAUACCAUAAACUAUGCCAACUAGAGAUCGGUGGGGUUAUCCUAUGUGGCUCCAUCGGCAUCUUAUGAGAAAUCAAAGUUUUUGGGUUCCGGGGGGAGUAUGGUCGCAAGGCUGAAACUUAAAGGAAUUGACGGAAGGGCACCACCAGGAGUGGAGCCUGCGGCUUAAUUUGACUCAACACGGGAAAACUCACCAGGUCCAGACAUAGUAAGGA